rnacentral:lncRNA from 1 species
UAACAUUGAAAUUGCAAAUAUUGUCUUGAAUCAAAGUUGAAAUUAUAUAUACUCCUUGUAAUAAGUGUCUUACUUAUAUCUAUUCAUUUCUUUGAAAUUGUACCACAGUAAAAAUUUCCAAUUGUGACCUUUAGUAGUGUUGUAAAGUAACAUAAAAAUUGGGGCAAUUCAAAAAAGAGUUGAAAACACAAGGGUAGUCCAAUUAAGAUAUUUUAUGCUAUUAGAUAUCAAAGGCCCGUGAAUUUCUCUGCCUUUUGUACUCUCUUAUUGUUUAAGCAAACAAAAAUAAGAGUACUCUCUCAAAUUGUAUUUAAGUGCUUUAAUAUUAAGUAAAAUUUUACAUUUAAUUUGUAA